GACGAACGCUGGCGGCGUGCUUAACACAUGCAAGUCGAACGGAAAGGCCCCUUUGGGGGUACUCGAGUGGCGCACGGGUGCGUAACACGUGAGUAACCUGCCCUUGACUUCGGGAUAACUUCAGGAAACUGGGGCUAAUACCGGAUAGGAAUCCUUGCUGCAUGGUGGGGGUUGGAAAGCUUCGGCGGUUUUGGAUGGACUCGCGGCUUAUCAGCUUGUUGGUGGGGUAGUGGCUUACCAAGGCUUUGACGGGUAGCCGGCCUGAGAGGGCGACCGGCCACAUUGGGACUGAGAUACGGCCCAGACGCCUACGGGAGGAAGCAGUGGGGAAUAUUGCACAAUGGGCGGAAGCCUGAUGCAGCAACGCCGCGGGCGGGAUGACGGCCUUCGGGUUGUAAACCGCUUUCAGCAGGGGCGAAGCUUGUGGUGACGGUACCUGCAGAAGAAGCACCGGCUAACUACGUG
rnacentral:rRNA from 1 species